rnacentral:rRNA from 1 species
GAUGAACGCUGGCGGCGUGCUUAACACAUGCAAGUCGAACGAAGCAAUUGGAGUGCUUGCACUUUGAUUGACUGAGUGGCGGACGGGUGAGUAACGCGUGGGUAACCUGCCUCACACAGGGGGAUAACAGUUGGAAACAGCUGCUAAUACCGCAUAAGCGCACAGUACCGCAUGGUACAGUGUGAAAAACUCCGGUGGUGUGAGAUGGACCCGCGUCUGAUUAGCUAGUUGGUGAGGUAACGGCCCACCGAGGCGACGAUCAGUAGCCGGCCUGAGAGGGUGGACGGCCACAUUGGGACUGAGACACGGCCCAAACUCCUACGGGAGGCAGCAGUGGGGAAUAUUGCACAAUGGGGGAAACCCUGAUGCAGCGACGCCGCGUGAACGAUGAAGUAUUUCGGUAUGUAAAGUUCUAUCAGCAGGGAAGAUAAUGACGGUACCUGACUAAGAAGCACCGGCUAAAUACGUG